UACAGGGGGGGGUAAGCGUUGUUCGGAAUUACUGGGCGUAAAGGGCUCGUAGGCGGCCAACUAAGUCAGACGUGAAAUCCCUCGGCUCAACCGGGGAACUGCGUCUGAUACUGGAUGGCUUGAAUUCGGGAGAGGGAUGCGGAAUUCCGGGUGUAGCGGUGAAAUGCGUAGAUAUCUGGAGGAACACCGGUGGCGAAGGCGGCACCCUGGACCGAGAUUGACGCUGAUGCGCGAAAGCCAGGGGAGCAAACGGG
rnacentral:rRNA from 1 species